GGAGGAGGACGAGGAAGACGAGGAGAACAAGGUGGACGAGGAGGACGAGGAUUAGUGCUCGGUAUACCCGUGGUGGUUAUCGGUGGUUGUUGGAGGUGAUUGGCGGUGAUUGCAGGUGUUCGGAGUUGGACGAGGAGGAGGACGAGGAAGACGAGGAGAACAAGGUGGACGAGGAGGACGAGGAUUAGUGCUCGGUAUAACCCGAGGUAGUUCGCGGUGGUUCCGGGUGAUCGAGGUGAGCGAGGAAGAGGACGAGGAUGACCAGGACUUGUACACUUUCUGUGCCCCACCUAGUGAUCCACCAGUAC
rnacentral:lncRNA from 1 species